rnacentral:rRNA from 1 species
CAGCAGCCGCGGGAAUACAGAGGGUGCAAGCGUUAAUCGGAAUUACUGGGCGUAAAGCGCGCGUAGGUGGUUUGUUAAGUUGGAUGUGAAAUCCCCGGGCUCAACCUGGGAACUGCAUCCAAAACUGGCAAGCUAGAGUAUGGUAGAGGGUGGUGGAAUUUCCUGUGUAGCGGUGAAAUGCGUAGAUAUAGGAAGGAACACCAGUGGCGAAGGCGACCACCUGGACUGAUACUGACACUGAGGUGCGAAAGCGUGGGGAGCAAACAGGAUUAGAUACCCCAGUAGUCCCUGUCUCUUAUAC